rnacentral:rRNA from 1 species
UACGUAGGGUGCAAGCGUUAUCCGGAGUUAUUGGGCGUAAAGAGCUCGUAGGCGGUUUGUCGCGUCUGCUGUGAAAACCGGAGGCUCAACCUCCGGCCUGCAGUGGGUACGGGCAAACUAGAGUGCGGUAGGGGAGAUUGGAAUUCCUGGUGUAGCGGUGGAAUGCGCAGAUAUCAGGAGGAACACCGAUGGCGAAGGCAGAUCUCUGGGCCGUAACUGACGCUGAGGAGCGAAAGCGUGGGGAGCGAACAGG